AGCGAACGCUGGCGGCAGGCUUAACACAUGCAAGUCGAGCGGGCGCAGCAAUGCGUCAGCGGCAGACGGGAGAGUAACACGUGGGAACGCGCCCUUCGGUUCGGAAUAACUCAGGGAAACUUGAGCUAAUACCGGAUACGCCCUAACGGGGAAAGAUUUAUUGCCGAAGGAACGGCCCGCGUCUGAUUAGCUAGUUGGUGAGGUAAUGGCUCACCAAGGCGACGAUCAGUAGCUGGUCUGAGAGGAUGGCCAGCCUCACUGGGACUGAGACACGGCC
rnacentral:rRNA from 1 species